rnacentral:lncRNA from 1 species
GGCUUUGCGCCCGGCCGACCUACGGGGCUCAGCGGCCCGACUCCUACUCUCAGCGCGCGCUAACUUGGUGCUGAGUCUCCUGGCCGGCCCUGGGCUCGGUGCAGCGGUCACCCGCCUGGCGGCCAGACCUUCGCGCACUUCGUGCUCCAACGCGGUCUCGCCAGAGUAGACACCUAUUCCUCCUCCCUUACCCUCCUCCUCCCCCCACCCCCCCGCCUACCGGGGCCCGGGGAGCGUGCGCGCGCCUGCGUCUUAGGCUCAGGGCGGGGGGGGGGGCACGCGUCGCGUGUGCGUGCGUGAGACCCCAACGUGAGGCGAGGGCGAGGGGGCGGUGACCCGGGCACCAAUGAGCGCCCUACGGCAAGCCCCAGGUGGAGCGACUACAGGUCCCGACAGGCUAUUUUCCCGGAAGCUCCUUUUGAAAAGCUUGAGGUAGACGCGGAGAGAUGCAUGCCGGGAGUUGUAGUUUCUGCGUGCGGUAGUUAAGCUCUUCCCGUGGUUUUCGGUGGGUGGCCGGGAAGGGCGACUCGGCUGGCUCCCGGGGGAGUGUUAAUAGUGACUUGGCCGCCAGUUCCAUCCUCAGGGAUUCCACGUCUUAGUUCCUUUUCCUCCCCUUAACCUUAGUUUCUUCGCUUGUAACGUGGAAGCGCUGUUUCCCACAGUUCCCAAAGCAACGGCAGCUGGGCCAUGACAGCUCGCUCUGCUCGCUCUUUCAGGCCGAGUGGUGAUAAAGUUUUCAGCUGUUGCUAGUAUCCGCAUGCUGCCUUGUGAGUGGUCUCCUAGAUCUGAUCACACCGUAGUGAGUAGUCCCUUCAUUACAGCCUGUUCCGCUGGGCCUGCUUUCCUCUGGCCAGCUGGAGCUGACCGGUCAGCUGCACACAGUGGACAACGGUGGCAAAUCAGGCAGACCCUUCUCCCACUUGGACUGGCGCCAGACUGGAUGGGCAGUCCUCAGCUGAGGUGCUUGGUUCAUCUGCAGGGGAUGUUGGUGACCAGUGACUGUUAACUACGGCUGAUUUUAAUUCUAUACACCUAAAGGAAAAGCAUGAUGGGUAAGAGGUAACAUUCUCCAUUCAUGGCUAUAUACAACCCUGUCUUCACUCCCUGGAUGGCAACGAUGCACAGUCCCACGGGGAUGAGGUUAAACACUGUGGAAUUGGUGCUGUCAUCCUUGGUUCCAUCAAGAGCUCCAUCGGGGUACAUUUGCAAGUAGUAGCCUUGCCUGCAAUGUAACCUGGCCACUAGGCCCUUGAGCUGGGGAUCUCAGAUCUGGAAAUACGGGGCAACAUCUCUCCACCUAUGAAUUAUGAACACACCCCCACAGCAACACAGCUCCAUCUUCUCUGCCAGCCUUGCUGACUGAUGGUGUAUUACAUCUUGAAGCUAGAGCCAGGCAAUAGUGUUGCUAUUUUCUUUUUUUUUUUUUUUUCUUUAAGAUUUAUUUAUUUUCAUGCCAGCGCUGUGUCGUAGCAGGUAAGGCCACCACCUGCAGGGCCGACAUCCCAUUUGGGCGCCAGUUCUAAUCUUGGCUGCUCUACUUCCAAUCCAGCUCUCUGCUGGCCUGGGAAAGCAGUAGAAGAUGGUCUUCGGAGCCCUGCACCCGCAUGAGAAGACCCAGAGGAAGCUCCUGGCUCCUGGAUUUGGAUCAGAUCAGCUCCUGCCAUUGCAGCCAACUGGGGAGUGAACAAGCGGGUAGAAGAUGUCAGCCAGCGCUCGCUAGCUCUCUCUCUCUUUCUCUCUCUCUCUCAAUGCCUCUCUUCUCUCUGUGUAACUCUGACUUUCAAAUAAACUAAAAAAAUAUUUAUUUAUUUAUUUGAAG